CGUGAUUUCACACUUUUUUGCUUACUACAUACUUUCAUAUCUGCUCAUAGUUUUGAAGAAUUGCAAUGAGAAUCUGCAAUGUAAAUAAUCAUGAAAAUAAAGAAAAGCCAUUAAAUGAGAAUGUGUGUCCAAACUUUUGACUGGUAGUGUAUGCAUAAAAUUAGGCUUCUGGUAGUGCACACGCUUGAAGGAUAACGAGCGUCCACAGGGCGAGUGGGAAAUUUACACACACACACACACAUAUAUAUCUAUGUAUAUACACUACUACUACUACUACUACUACUAUUGUUCAGCUUGCUGCUUUGGGAGCUGCCAUCGUUUUUUGGGGUUAUUUUUCAUGCUUGUUUGUUUUUUAUAACCAAAUGUGACUAUAUUUGGAUAAGAUGGUAUCAAGUAGCGCUAGUUCUGGGUAGCUGACGUGUGACUAAAAGCAGCAGCUACACUUAAUUUUACAUACAGUUUGUAAGAAGGGGAAAAUAGAUUUUUUAGGUUUUGUAUCAGAUUGCAUAUUUUGUUUUGUUUUUUUUGUUGUUCUUUUACUGUAAAGAUUAUUUUAACAUCUUGGCUGUGGGGACAAACUUUAGCAUAAAUUUUAUAUUUUUUGUGUCAGUUUUGUUUUAAUUGUUGAGGAACUACAGUUUCACUGACGUUUUCUUCAUCCCGAGGUUAUUGCUUGUUAAAAAGCAAUCCAAAUGUAAUGAUCUAAUCUUGGUAUGAGUUUUGCUUAUAUUUUUAUCAACACUAUAAUUACACGAUCCAUUAAUCAGCCACAGCCAGGUUAAAAAAAGCCCAGCUGUUCUUCAUUGUUGUUAUUGUGUAAGAGGCUAUGAAUGGAUUCAUGUGCCUGUGAGGCGGCUUAUAGAUGAGCCUUGGCACUUCACCGUUCACGGCUAAUGGAUUCACGAGUGGCUCUAAAUAGGCCAUGGCACACGAGCAGUCCAAUGGCAGCAGCCAGGCCAUGAAUAAUGCAUGGAGGUAGAUUCAAAAAUGACUUCCGGCUUCAAGGUUUUUACUGAAACACUGCUUUUGAAGAAGUAAAGAGGCAGAACUUUUAAUGUUUAU
ensembl:lncRNA